rnacentral:lncRNA from 1 species
AUUUGGCGCAAUUGGGUUAUUCGGACCCUUGGUUUGCAUUGAUCGUUACCCAGUUCAUAUUCCUGAAAUUGUCAAGCUCUAGAAAGCCCUUAAUUAGCCUCCUCGGUUUCAUUGCUAUGGGUUGCUACAGUUAUUAGGAAUCAUCUCUUGCCUCAUAAUAUUUGAUCUAGGAUUUGCAUUUGCUGAUGCUGCUGUGUUGUGAACUUAGGCUCUAUUUGUUACUUGCACAUUUUUAAUUUUUCU